rnacentral:sRNA from 1 species
UCGCCCGGGGGCCAUGGCAGCAGCGGCUACUGCUGCCGAGGGGGUCCCGAGUCGGGGGCCUCCCGGGGAAGUCAUUCAUCUGAAUGUGGGAGGCAAGAGAUUCAGUACCUCUCGCCAGACUCUCACCUGGAUCCCAGACUCCUUCUUCUCCAGUCUUCUGAGCGGACGCAUCUCGACGCUGAAAGAUGAGACCGGAGCAAUCUUCAUCGACAGGGACCCUACAGUCUUCGCCCCCAUCCUCAACUUCCUGCGCACCAAAGAGUUGGAUCCCAGGUUGGCAUGGAAAAAGGGGAGGGAGUCCCUCACUGUCUUCACCCCCUGAGGAGUUCUUUCACUUCCUCUGAAUGUCCACGUGAGCUCCAUUCUAUUAGAAUUCUCAUUCAGAACCUUGAUCACAGGCCGGGCGCGCCGGGAUUGCUCACGCCUGUAAUCCCAACACUUUGGGAGGCCGAGGUGGGAGGAUCACUUGAGCCCAGGAUUUGGAGACUAGCCUGGGCAACAUAGCGAGACCCCUUCUCUAAAAAAGCAAACAGGCAAAACUUCAUGAGAAUCUUGAUCGUGUUAAAAUUUUA